rnacentral:rRNA from 1 species
AGUGAACGCUGGCGGUAGGCCUAACACAUGCAAGUCGAACGGCAGCACAGUAAGAGCUUGCUCUUACGGGUGGCGAGUGGCGGACGGGUGAGGAAUACAUCGGAAUCUACUUUUUCGUGGGGGAUAACGUAGGGAAACUUACGCUAAUACCGCAUACGACCUACGGGUGAAAGCGGGGGAUCUUCGGACCUUGCGCGAUUGAAUGAGCCGAUGUCGGAUUAGCUAGUUGGCGGGGUAAAGGCCCACCAAGGCGACGAUCCGUAGCUGGUCUGAGAGGAGGAUCAGCCACCCUGGAACUGAGACACGGUCCAGACGCCUACGGGAGGCAGCAGUGGGGAAUAUUGGACAAUGGGCGCAAGCCUGAUCCAGCCAUACCGCGUGGGUGAAGAAGGCCUUCGGGUUGUAAAGACCUUUUGUUGGGAAAGAAAAGCAGCAGGUUAAUACCCCGCUGUUCUGACGGUACCCAAAGAAUAAGCACCGGCUAACUUCGUG